UGGCUUCACUUCCCGGGAUGUAUGAGAGGACCGUGACAAUGAACUCACUCGGUAAGACAUUUUCUUUGACUGGUUGGAAGAUUGGAUGGGCAAUAGCUCCAGUGCAUCUGACAUGGGGUCUGAGGCAGGCUCACUCAUAUCUCACAUUUGCCACCUCAACACCAAUGCAAUAUGCUGCUUCAGUAGCUUUGAGGACUCCAGAUAGUUACUAUGAUGAAUUAAAGAGGGACUACAUGGCGAAGAAGGCAAUAUUGGUGGAGGGACUAAAAGAUGCGGGCUUUGUGGUGUACCCAUCGAGUGGAACUUAUUUUGUGG
rnacentral:misc_RNA from 1 species